rnacentral:rRNA from 1 species
AGCGAACGCUGGCGGCAGGCCUAAAACAUGCAAGUCGAACGCCGUAGCAAUACGGAGUGGCAGACGGGUGAGUAACACGUGGGAACAUACCCUUUGGUUCGGAACAACACAGGGAAACUUGUGCUAAUACCGGAUAAGCCCUUACGGGGAAAGAUUUAUCGCCGAAGGAUUGGCCCGCGUCUGAUUAGCUAGUUGGUGGGGUAACGCCACAAGGCUACGAUCAGUAGCUGGUCUGAGAGGAUGAUCAGCCACACUGGGACUGAGACACGGCCCAGACUCCUACGGGAGGCAGCAGUUAGGAAUCUUGGACAAUGGGCGCAAGCCUGAUCCAGCCAUGCCGCGUGAGUG